CCUGGUUGCAAGAUUAAUGCCUCAGCCCGUCUCAUGAAAAUAUCCCAGGGUACUAUGACUGCUGCUGAAUAUGCUAUUGAUUUCCAUACAUUGGCAGCUGAGGUUACUUGCUUGAAUUACUUGUGGGAUAGUUACACUGUGAAGAAAUUUCCUUUCUCAUAAUUGCUUGCCCUGCCACACCAGUCAUUCUGGGACUUCCUGGUUAAAACAACAUAACCCAUCCACUGACUGGAGGACUGGCCAGCUCAUCGCCUGGGGUUCUUUAUGUUAAGAAUUCUGUCUGCCUCUCGUAAAUCUCUGUGUGUCUAAUCCAUCACACCUAAUUCCACUUGUCUUCCGGGAAUGCUUCUUAGAAUUUUUUGAUGUCUUCAAGGAAAAGAAUGCUGAUAUUCUCCACAUAGACAUUAUGACUGUCCUAUUGAUCUUAUUCAGGGAGGAUGUAUCCACUCUCUAUCCCUGAGAUUCUAUGCAAGAAUACAUUCAGGAAAACCUUUCAAAAGGUUUCAUCAGGAAAUCGUCCUCCCCUGCGGGUGCUGGAUUAUUUUUUGUCCAGAAAAAAGAUGGCAGGCUAAGGCCUUGUAUUGAGUACCGGGGUCUGAACAAAAUCACUCUUAAAAACCAUUACCCUAUCCCGUUACUCACUGAACUUUUUGACUGACUGAGGAGUGCAAAACAUUUUUCCAAGUUGGAUCUCCAAAGUGCUUAUAGCCUGAUUUGCAUUUGUAAGGAUCCCAUUACCAUCCUCACUGAAUACAAAAACCUGCAAUACAUCACAUCAGCCAAAAGAUUAACUCCACGGCAGGCAAGAUGGGCAUUGUUUUUAUUCAGGUUCAAUUUUAUCAUCUCUUAUAGGCUUGGAUAUAAGAAUAUCAAGGCUGAUGCUUUGUCCAGAUCCUUGUCUUUCGAAGAAAUGUCCACGAUCAGGCCCGGACUGGCAAUCUGUGAACUCGGGCAAUUGCCCGUGGGGCCGCUCUAUUUCCUGUUCAAGUGGGCCGCUCCUGAACAGAGAAACCAGUGUGUUUCAUCCUCCGUCACCUUGAAUGAAGGCAAGGGAUAGAGUUCAAUGUGGCCCAGCUUGAAGCACUCGGUUGCCGGUAUAAUCAGGAGGGAGAGAGAGACUCUGCUGCUGUGCUCUGUGACAGCACGCCUCCUCCCCCCUCGCAGCUUCGCUGGCCUGGCUGGACUGUGUGGUUGAAUAGGAGACGUCACAGCUCGUCAUGUGACUCGUCUCGUCUAGACCUGCCUCUCUGCAUUGUGAUCCGUCGGCAUGUCAGCUCCUAGUAAGAGAUUGCAGGUCAUCCAGGGAUCAAAAAGUCAUUGGACCUCAUUUCCAGAUAUUUCUGGUGGCCAUCCCUCACUCGAGAUGUUACACAGUUUGUCGCUGCUUGCUCAGCAGAAGACUCCUCGUUCUCUUCCUUGUUGCCUUCUACAUCCUCUACCAAUACCAAGUCAACCCUGGUCUGAUCUUUCCAUGGACUUUAUUAUGGACCUACCCAAGUCUGCAGGCUAUUCCACAAUUCUGGUGGUUGUUGAUUGUUUCUCCCAUCUGCUGCCUCUCUUGCUAAAAUCUUCAUCAAGGAAAUUUUCUGCCUCCAUGGUUUCCCUACAUCUAUUGUUUCUGAUCAAGGGCUCCAAUUUGUUUCCCGCUUCUGGCCUGCCUUUUGAAAGUUAUUGGAAAUAAGCCUGAAUUUUUCAUCAGCAUACCAUCCACAAAGCAACGGUCAGACAGAAAGAACCAAUCAGAUCUUGGAAAAAAUUCCUUUGUUGUUUUAUUUCUCUAAAUCAAGACAAUUGGUCUGAACUCCUUCUCUGGACUGAGUUCGCCCAUAAUAAUCCCAAACAUGAAUCUUUGGGCUGCUCUCCUUUCUGUACAUUUGGGAGAAAUCCUCUUGCUCUUCCAUCUUCUCUACUCAGAGUAGACGGUUGAAGGUGCGGUACAAGAUUUUAAAUACAUUUGGUCAUCUGCUCAUCAGGUCCUUAAUAAAUCCUCUGUCCAUCAAAAAAAGGCAGCUGAUAAACGUU